rnacentral:lncRNA from 1 species
UAAAAGUGCUAAAUUUCAGCUGACCCUGUUUGAGAUAAUAUAGUCUCAAAAUGCAUCCUGUAUUUAUAUGCAGUAAUGGCAUAUAAUGUAUUAUCCAAAUACCUUUGCAUUAAUUACCCUGGAUUAUCUCUCCAUUUGAGAUCAUUAUUUUCUAGGAUGAAUACAACUUCAUCUUUUUCAUUUUGUUUGUAUAAUUCAAUGCUCUCAUUGUUGUCAUCUGUUAGAGCACUGGUGUAUGAGGGGACAACAUUCUUCCUUUUUGGAUUUUAUAAAAUCCAAGAAUUUUUUAUACAUCUAUUGAUCUUUAUUAAGAUCUGUUGAACUUGAAAUAUUUGCGGCUAUUAGCCUUAUGGUUUUCCAUUUGGGCAAGGAUAUUUUCUCUGCCUCUGGCUGGUCUUCCUUUGCCGCUAUCUCUAUUAGAGGAGAUUGAUCC